rnacentral:rRNA from 1 species
UACGGAGGGUGCAAGCGUUAAUCGGAAUUACUGGGCGUAAAGCGUGCGCAGGCGGUGUGUUAAGUCCGUUGUGAAAGCCCCGAGCUCAACUUGGGAAUUGCAGUGGAUACUGGCAGGCUGGAGUACGGUAGAGGAAGGUGGAAUUCCCGGUGUAGCAGUGAAAUGCGUAGAUAUCGGGAGGAACACCGACGGCGCAGGCAGCGUCCUGGCCGCUUGCUGACACUGAGGCACGAAAGCUGGGGGAGCAAACAGG